UUUAACUGAAGAGUUUGAUCAUGGCUCAGAUUGAACGCUGGCGGCAGGCUUAACACAUGCAAGUCGAGCGGGGGAAGGUAGCUUGCUACUGGACCUAGCGGCGGACGGGUGAGUAAUGCUUAGGAAUCUGCCUAUUAGUGGGGGACAACAUCUCGAAAGGGAUGCUAAUACCGCAUACGUCCUACGGGAGAAAGCAGGGGAUCUUCGGACCUUGCGCUAAUAGAUGAGCCUAAGUCGGAUUAGCUAGUUGGUGGGGUAAAGGCCUACCAAGGCGACGAUCUGUAGCGGGUCUGAGAGGAUGAUCCGCCACACUGGGACUGAGACACGGCCCAGACUCCUACGGGAGGCAGCAGUGGGGAAUAUUGGACAAUGGGGGGAACCCUGAUCCAGCCAUGCCGCGUGUGUGAAGAAGGCCUUAUGGUUGUAAAGCACUUUAAGC
rnacentral:rRNA from 1 species